CCGAGUUUACAACUUCCAAACCCCUGUGAACAUACCUACUUGUUGCCUCGGCGGAUCAGCCCGCGCCCCGUAAAACGGGACGGCCCGCCAGAGGACCCCUAAACUCUGUUUCUAUAGUGGAACUUCUGAGUAAAACAAUAAAUAAAUCA
rnacentral:misc_RNA from 1 species